GGCGUCGGUAGUGCAGUUGGUUAAGCACGCGUCCUCAGAAAGGGUAAGAUUCGGGUUCGAUUCCCGAGUGACGUCA